GACGAACGCUGGCGGCGCGCUUAACACAUGCAAGUCGAACGGAAAGGCCUGCUUUCCCUUGUGGAUUGCGGGUACUCGAGUGGCGAACGGGUGAGUAACACGUGAGUGAUCUGCCCCCAACUUGGGUAUAAGCCUGGGAAACUGGGUCUAAUUCCCGAUAGGACUGCAGGGUGGUGCCUGUGGUGGAAAACGAUUUUCUAGUGGUUGGGGAUGAGCUCGCGGCCUAUCAGCUUGUUGGUGGGGUAAUGGCCUACCAAGGCGGCGACGGGUAGCCGGCCUGGGAGGGUGGAAGGCCACAUUGGGACUGAGAUACGGCCCAGACUCCUACGGGAGGCAGCAGUGGGGAAUACUGCACAAUGGGGGGAAGCCUGAUGCAGCGACGCCGCGUGGGGGAUGACGGCCUUCGGGUUGUAAACUCCUUUCGACCGGGAGGAAGCCACCUGGUUGGAAGGGUGGUGACGGUAGCGGUAGAAGAAGCACCGGCUAACUACGUG
rnacentral:rRNA from 1 species